GUCAGUACAUAGAGGAGCUGCCUAUGAGACACAUGAGGGAGGACUUGUGUUCUUUGCCAGACUAACAGGCAUUCAGAGGAGUGGUGUAAGGCUGCAAGGGGGAGUCCCACAGAGAGAAGAGGAGUUCUCUUCCUGCCCCAUGACCCAGCUGUUCUACACCAGACUCGCUUUCCCUGUCUGCAGGUGUUUUAUCUCCUUGCAAACUGUUCCCAGGAGAAAGCCAUUCCUAUCUCCCAGACUCUCCUUUCACCAGGUUGUAUCUGAGUCCUGCACACACAGACCUUGCUGAUAGGUAAAAAUCUUAUCAGCUGGCCCUGACAACCUGAGGUGUCCUAGGCUGCCUUGGGCUUGCCCUCAGGCUCUGCAGUAACCAGAGCAAUCACCUCACUGCAGCACAAGCAAUAAGUGACCUUAGGAAGCACUCAAACAUUUGCAUAUUAUUGCAUACAUAAAAAUAAUAAUAAAUGUUGGUGGGAUGUGGAGUGGUGCAGAGUACCUCUUAUCAACAGGCUCCACAAAAGCUCCUUCAUUUGUUUAUAAGGAACUGCAGACCAGAGAUGCCUGAACUUGCAGACAGGAAGGGUGAGGGGGGAAAACACCUCCACUUGUUUUCUGCUUUGAACAACAACGUUUCCCUUAACCAUAGAAGGUAGUGAAGCCACUUGGCACACAGACUGGAGUGAAGUACCUUGGCUGGAAUUGUUGGCUUGUUUCUGCUCCGUGCGUGCCGAGGGCAGAGAGGGGCAGGACUCCCCACACUGCAGCCCUCUGCACCCCUCAGACACAAGUUUGGGGAACAGCUUGCCUGCAGACACACACUGCUGGCUUCGGCUGCCAUCUGUCCUCCUGCCUCCCUCCCUGGUGUCCCAAGCACAGCCCCUCAAGAGGAGCCACCACCACCAGCAGGGGAGGGGAGCUCUACUGCUCUGAAGGAUUAGCUGAGCCCUGGGCUGGGGGUGCUGCAUCCUCAGUGAAACCCAGGCUAAGGUAUGGCUAUGGCAGUUCAGUACGUCCUGGCCCUGGAGAGAAUCGGAGCCUUGAGGCACAAGAGGCACUGACAGCUGAAAAUGCUGCAUUUCUGUGAAGAACUGAGUUUCUAGGGACAAUGUUAAAUAAGCACAAUAUUGGAGGUUUUGUAAUAGCCACUGAGUAAAAGAAAAUUAUGUGUGGUUUGAGGAUGUUGAAAAGUGGUGUAGAUUAAAGUUGUCCAUUGCUUUAAUUUUGCUGGAAUAUAGUUUAUCAUCUGCUUUAUUAGAUGGAACAUUUCCAUAAAAAAUGUGAUAUGGAAAAGCCAGAUGCCAUCAAUGAUUAGUUAGUUAGUUAAUUAAAUUACCUCUUUUCCCCAC